GAUGAACGCUGGCGGCGUGCCUAAUACAUGCAAGUCGAGCGAACAGACUCGGAGUUUGCUCCUCUGACGUUAGCGGCGGACGUGUGAGUCACACGUGGAUCCCCUCCCUAUCAGACUGGUAUACCUUCGGGAAACCGGCUCUAAUACCGUAUAAUAUAUUUAACCGCAUGGUUUAUUAGUGAAAGACGUUUUUUCUGUCACUUAUAGAUGCCUCCGCGCCGCAUUAGAUAGUUGUUAAGGUAACGGCUUACCAAGGCAACGAUGCGUAGCCGACCUGAGAGGGGGAUAGGCCACACGAGAAGUGAGACGCGGACCAGACUACUAAGGGAGGCAGCAGUAGGGAAUGGGACGCAAAAGGCGGGAGCAUGACGGAGCAACGGAGCGUGAGAGAUGAAGAUCUUGGGAUAGUAAAAAUGGGUUAUUAGGGAAAAACAAAUGUGUAAGGAAAAAUAGACGAAGUGACGGUACCUGAACAGAAAGCCACGGCUAACUACGUG
rnacentral:rRNA from 1 species